GACGUAGGGCGCGAGCGUUGUCCGGAUUUAUUGGGCGUAAAGAGCUCGCAGGCGGCUUGUCGCGUCGUUCGUGAAAACCUGCAGCUCAACUGCAGGCUUGCGGUCGAUACGGGCAGGCUAGAGUUCGGUAGGGGAGACUGGAAUUCCUGGUGUAGCGGUGAAAUGCGCAGAUAUCAGGAGGAACACCGGUGGCGAAGGCGGAUCUCUGGGCCGAUACUGACGCUGAGGAGCGAAAGCGUGGGGAGCGAACAGG
rnacentral:rRNA from 1 species